UUUGUUGAAUAGGUAAAUAAAUUAUUAAUAAAACAGAAAUAAUAUGAACACCUAAUUGUCAUCAAUAAAGGCUGACAUUUCUGUAUUAAUUCAAUCACUUAAUUUGCCGCAUCAGGGCAGGUGAAAUGUUCCAGGACAAAAAGAAAAUGGGAAUUAAGAACUAGUGAGUGGGUGAGUUUGCCUUACCUAAAUCCCAUGGUGAAAGAAAUCUUACUCAUAGACCCUAGCAUCUUUUAAGCUCCAAUUAUUUCUGGUUGGUCAUGUGGCUUUUCAUAUGACCCACUGCUUUUGGCACACUACUUAAACAAAUUUAUCUUACAAUCAGCAACCAACGGCUUCCUAUUUUCAGUUUUACCCUGAUGGGAACCAUCAAGCAGAACCUUCUGGACCUGUACUUCCGAGUUCACUAGGGCUGGGAGAACUCAGCCCAGGGAUCAGCAACGCAUGUACGAGUCUCUCCAGAAGAGACAUAACACUGACUGUAUGCUCUACAACUAACUAAUCUUCAGUUUGCAGAAGAGGAAACUAAAGGACAGGAAGUUGGCUGAUUCCUACAAUGAGCAGAAGUUACAGCAAAGGUCAAUGCCAGGACUGAGUUCCCUGUUUUUCUCACUCACAUUCUUUAAGUUGGUACCUGGGCCCCUGGUGCAGGAUGGGUUCUUCAUAAACCUUUAUUAAAUAAGUG
rnacentral:lncRNA from 10 species